rnacentral:rRNA from 1 species
GCGCAGCAGUCGAGAAACCUUCGCAAUGCGGGAAACCGCGACGAGGGGACUCCCAGUGCCUACGCUCAGCGUCGGCUGUUCCCGAGCCUAGAAAGCUCGGGGAGUAAGGGCUGGGUAAGACGGGUGCCAGCCGCCGCGGUAAUACCCGCAGCCCGAGUGGUGGCCACUAUUAUUGGGCCUAAAGCGUCCGUAGCCGGCCCGGUAAAUGCCUGGGUAAAUCGUGAGGCCUAACCUCACGAAUUCCGGGUAGACUGCCGGGCUAGGGACCGGAGGAGGGAGAGGGUACUCCAGGGGUAGGGGUGAAAUCCUGUAAUCCCUGGAGGACCACCGGUGGCGAAGGCGCUCUCCUAGGACGGGUCCGACGGUGAGGGACGAAAGCCAGGGGAGCGAACCGGAUUAGAUACCCGUGUAGU